ACACAUGCAAGUCGAACGAGCGAGAGAGAGCUUGCUUUCUCGAGCGAGUGGCGAACGGGUGAGUAACGCGUGAGGAACCUGCCUCAAAGAGGGGGACAACAGUUGGAAACGACUGCUAAUACCGCAUAAGCCCACGGCUCGGCAUCGAGCAGAGGGAAAAGGAGCAAUCCGCUUUGAGAUGGCCUCGCGUCCGAUUAGCUAGUUGGUGAGGUAAUGGCCCACCAAGGCGACGAUCGGUAGCCGGACUGAGAGGUUGAACGGCCACAUUGGGACUGAGACACGGCCCAGACUCCUACGGGAGGCAGCAGUGGGGAAUAUUGCACAAUGGGGGAAACCCUGAUGCAGCGACGCCGCGUGGAGGAAGAAGGUCUUCGGAUUGUAAACUCCUGUUGUUGAGGAAGAUAAUGACGGUACUCAACAAGGAAGUGACGGCUAACUACGUGCCAGCAGCCGCGGUAAAACGUAGGUCACAAGCGUUGUCCGGAAUUACUGGGUGUAAAGGGAGCGCAGGCGGGAAGACAAGUUGGAAGUGAAAUCUAUGGGCUCAACCCAUAAACUGCUUUCAAAACUGUUUUUCUUGAGUAGUGCAGAGGUAGGCGGAAUUCCCGGUGUAGCGGUGGAAUGCGUAGAUAUCGGGAGGAACACCAGUGGCGAAGGCGGCCUACUGGGCACCAACUGACGCUGAGGCUCGAAAGUGUGGGUAGCAAACAGGAUUAGAUACCCUGGUAGUCCACACCGUAAACGAUGAUUACUAGGUGUUGGAGGAUUGACCCCUUCAGUGCCGCA
rnacentral:rRNA from 1 species